rnacentral:rRNA from 1 species
GACGAGGGAUCCUAGCGUUGUUCGGAAUCAUUGGGCGUAAAGCGGGAGUAGGUGGCUUGCUAAGUCAGGUGUGAAAGCCCAGGGCUCAACCCUGGAAGUGCAUCUGAAACUGGCGAGCUUGAGUGCGAGAGAGGUAAGUAGAAUUCCAGGUGUAGUGGUGAAAUACGUAGAUAUCUGGAGGAAUACCGGAGGCGAAGGCGGCUUACUGGCUCGACACUGACACUCAACCCCGAAAGCGUGGGGAUCAAACAGG